GAUGAACGCUGGCGGCGUGCCUAAUACAUGCAAGUCGAGCGAACAGACGAGGAGCUUGCUCCUCUGACGUUAGCGGCGGACGGGUGAGUAACACGUGGAUAACCUACCUAUAAGACUGGGAUAACUUCGGGAAACCGGAGCUAAUACCGGAUAAUAUAUUGAACCGCAUGGUUCAAUAGUGAAAGACGGUUUUGCUGUCACUUAUAGAUGGAUCCGCGCCGCAUUAGCUAGUUGGUAAGGUAACGGCUUACCAAGGCAACGAUGCGUAGCCGACCUGAGAGGGUGAUCGGCCACACUGGAACUGAGACACGGUCCAGACUCCUACGGGAGGCAGCAGUAGGGAAUCUUCCGCAAAGGGCGAAAGCCUGACGGAGCAUCGCCGCGUGAGUGAUGAAGGUCUUCGGAUCGUAAAACUCUGUUAUUAGGGAAGAACAAAUGUGUAAGUAACUAUGCACGUCUUGACGGUACCUAAUCAGAAAGCCACGGCUAACUACGUG
rnacentral:rRNA from 1 species